UACGAGUGCCUCAAGCGUUAUCCGGAAUCAUUGGGCGUAAAGGGUGCGUAGGCGGCGGAGUAAGUUGGGUGUGAAAUCCCGGGGCUCAACCUCGGAAUGGCAUUCAAUACUGCUUCGCUCGAGUACUGGAGAGGAGGCUGGAAUUUACGGUGUAGCAGUGAAAUGCGUAGAUAUCGUAAGGAAGGCCGGUGGCGAAAGCGAGCCUCUGGACAGUUACUGACGCUGAUGCACGAAGGCCAGGGGAGCAAACGGG
rnacentral:rRNA from 1 species